UUCUUUGGAUAAAUGUGUGCCUA
rnacentral:siRNA from 1 species